rnacentral:rRNA from 1 species
UACGUAGGGUGCGAGCGUUAAUCGGAAUUACUGGGCGUAAAGCGUGCGCAGGCGGUUUUUUAAGUCUUACGUGAAAUCCUCCGGCUUAACCUGGGAAUUGCGUUGGAGACUGCAAGGCUGGAGUCUGGCAGGGGGGGGUAGAAUUCCACGUGUAGCAGUGAAAUGCGUAGAGAUGUGGAGGAACACCGAUGGCGAAGGCAGCCCCCUGGGUCAAGACUGACGCUCAUGCACGAAAGCGUGGGGAGCAAACAGG